rnacentral:lncRNA from 1 species
UUUAAAAAAAAAAAAAAAAAGCAAGCAAGCAAGCAAGCAAGCACCUGAAUUCUAAGAAAGAUGAGGUAUUUGAUUCCAAGGAAGAAAACUAUACACGGCAGGUUGAAGCGACAGAGGCAGUCCUGACUGUUUUUUCUCCAUCCAGCUACUUUAAUUAUGGCCCUUCAAAACCAGCUAUUCCUGUGGAUCAGCGCGUAAAGCGAUACUGCGAACAUAUUGAACCAUCCAUCGACCCUCCGUGCUGAGGCCUGUCAGUGCAGAAUGGCUGCAGGGAGUCUUAGUCUGUUCCCCCGUCCCAGGAGAGCACUAUGCAGAGUGGAGCAAAUCCCUCCAGGAUUUAACACAGGUGUGUGAAAAAUGUGGGGAACAUGACUCGUUAUUGAUUUUAAAUCAGUGUUU